UGUUCUUCGGAAUGAGAGACCGGCGCACGGGUGCGUAACGCGUAUGCAAUCUACCUUUUACAGAGGGAUAGCCCAGAGAAAUUUGGAUUAAUACCUCAUAGUAUAGUGAUACCGCAUGGUACUACUAUUAAAGUCACGACGGUAAAAGAUGAGCAUGCGUCCCAUUAGCUAGUUGGUAAGGUAACGGCUUACCAAGGCAACGAUGGGUAGGGGUCCUGAGAGGGAGAUCCCCCACACUGGUACUGAGACACGGACCAGACUCCUACGGGAGGCAGCAGUGAGGAAUAUUGGUCAAUGGGCGCAAGCCUGAACCAGCCAUGCCGCGUGCAGGAUGACGGUCCUAUGGAUUGUAAACUGCUUUUGCACAGGAAGAAACAACGCUACGUGUAGCGUCUUGACGGUACUGUGAGAAUAAGGAUCGGCUAACUCUGUGCCAGCAGCCGCGGUAAUACGGAGGAUCCAAGCGUUAUCCGGAAUCAUUGGGUUUAAAGGGUCCGUAGGCGGUUUAGUAAGUCAGUGGUGAAAGCCCAUCGCUCAACGGUGGAACGGCCAUUGAUACUGCUAGACUUGAAUUAUUAGGAAGUAACUAGAAUAUGUAGUGUAGCGGUGAAAUGCUUAGAGAUUACAUGGAAUACCAAUUGCGAAGGCAGGUUACUACUAAUGGAUUGACGCUGAUGGACGAAAGCGUGNGUAGCGAACAGGAUUAGAUACCCUGGUAGUCCACGCCGUANACGAUGGAUACUAGCUGUUGGGAGCGAUCUCAGUGGCUAAGCGAAAGUGAUAAGUAUCCCACCUGGGGAGUACGUUCGCAAGAAUGAAC
rnacentral:rRNA from 1 species